UCUAUCAGUGCUUUUCUAGUUUUUUUUUUUUUUUUUUUUGAUGACUGUGGCCUUGUCUAUGGUUCCAGCACGUUGCUAUGGCUCACAACUAUGUGUCCUAUGAGGCAGCAUGUCAAGCUGUACAUGACAUAGGCAGGCGUAUCGCGGAGGGUGAGUUGUGUGUGGGACCACUGACUUUUGUCUUCACAGGUGUAGGAGGAGUAUCCAGGGGUGCCCAGGAGAUGUUCAAGCACCUGCCUCAUGAGUUUGUAUCUCCAGACAAACUGCCAGAGGUGGCAAGGAAUGGAGCAGAAUCACUGAUGCAUGGGAGAAGUUAUUAAUCAUAUGCACACAAUGUUUUCAUUGAAGAUCCACUGGGAGCAGUCAUUUUUCAAGAGGUCACAAUGUGAAGAGAUUUUGUUCUGCCUAAUGCUGACUGUGACAGCAUCAAAUAGAAGACCAAACUCUAUGCCACAAUUGUGGAUAAAGCAGACAACCUGAGUAGAAUCAGUGAUGGAGGAUUUGAUAGAGAGGAAUAUAAC